GUAGGGAAUAUUGCUUAAUGUGCGAAAGCGCGAAGCAGCAACGCCGCGUGUGCGAUGAAGGCCUUCGGGUCGUAAAGCACUUUUUAGAGGGAUGAGAAAGGACAGUACCUCUAGAAUAAGCCUCGGCUAACUACGUGCCAGCAGCCGCGGUAAAACGUAGGAGGCGAGCGUUAUCCGGAAUUACUGGGCGUAAAGCGCGUGCAGGCGGUUCGGUUAGUUGGAUGUGAAAGCUCCUGGCUUAACUGGGAGAGGUCGUUCAAUACUGCCGGACUUGAGAGUGGUAGAGGGAGAUGGAAUUCCGCAUGUAGUGGUGAAAUGCGUAGAUAUGCGGAGGAACACCAGUGGCGAAAGCGGUCUCCUGGCCCACUUCUGACGCUCAGACGCGAAAGCUAGGGUAGCAAACGGGAUUAGAAACCCGUGUAGUCC
rnacentral:rRNA from 1 species